CCCAGCCUCAACAGAACAAGGAAGGGCAAGGGAGGAGCUGUUCGCCAGAGGAGUUAGCAAUGAGACCAGCAAUUCUGCUCUCCCCUGAGAAGAUUCAGAGAGCCAUGUGUGACCUGUGCCAGGAAUGAAUUACCUCCUGUGGAGCUGGCCUCAGUCCAGUCAAGAGAGCAACUAGUUACCCCAUCAGCAGUUUUAUCACUAUUCCACCAGUGGGCUCAUCUUGCCUGGCAGGUCAGUAUUGAAGCAUUCAACGAUAAGAUAGCAUUUUUUUCCCUCAGCAGCCUGAAUAGCACCUUCUGAAAUUAUGAAAACAUAGUGUUGGAUGUGCAUUUGUAAUUCCUGGAUUAGGGCCAUGGCAGGAGGGGGGGGAGCUGUGGCAGGAGGAUUGCUGCAAGUUUGCAGUCAGCCUGG
rnacentral:lncRNA from 1 species